ACAUUGAUGAGACACUUCAGGUUCUGGUAAGUGCAGUAGAGAUGUUUGAACCCAUUUUUGGUGGAGUAUGUCCAGUCACAUGCCUUUGAGAUUGAUAUUCUGCAUUU